rnacentral:rRNA from 1 species
GGGGAAUAUUGGACAAUGGGCGAAAGCCUGAUCCAGCCAUGCCGCGUGUGUGAAGAAGGUCUUCGGAUUGUAAAGCACUUUAAGUUGGGAGGAAGGGCAGUUACCUAAUACGUGAUUGUUUUGACGUUACCGACAGAAUAAGCACCGGCUAACUCUGUGCCAGCAGCCGCGGUAAUACAGAGGGUGCAAGCGUUAAUCGGAAUUACUGGGCGUAAAGCGCGCGUAGGUGGUUAGUUAAGUUGGAUGUGAAAUCCCCGGGCUCAACCUGGGAACUGCAUUCAAAACUGACUGACUAGAGUAUGGUAGAGGGUGGUGGAAUUUCCUGUGUAGCGGUGAAAUGCGUAGAUAUAGGAAGGAACACCAGUGGCGAAGGCGACCACCUGGACUGAUACUGACACUGAGGUGCGAAAGCGUGGGGAGCAAACA